rnacentral:rRNA from 1 species
GACGUAGGGCGCGAGCGUUGUCCGGAUUUAUUGGGCGUAAAGAGCUCGUAGGCGGCUUGUUACGUCGUUCGUGAAAAACUUGGGGGCUCAACCCCCAAGCUUGCGGUCGAUACGGGCUAGCUAGAGUGUGGUAGGGGGAGAUCGGAAUUCCUGGUGUAGCGGUGAAAAUGCGCAGAUAUCAGGAGGAACACCGGUGGCGAAGGCGGAUCUCUGGGCCAUUACUGACGCUGAGGAGCGAAAGCGUGGGGAGCGAACAGG